AGGUUAAAUCACAGAUUGAGCACAGCUAAGGAGAAAAGUGGUGAAAUGGAAUACGGACACAGAACACAGCACAGAGAGAGAAACAGAAACAGGAAAGAGAGGGAAAGAGACACAGAGAGCUAAGGGAAAAAAGUCACCUUCACAGAAGCAAUGGGGAGAGUGUUCCCAGACAGAUGGAGUGCGAUGCGAAUGCUCAGCUCAGGAAGUGAGUCCUGAGCAGGAAGAACACAGCUGCCUUCACACCCAAGGCACUUAGCGUUUUCCCAUGAGCAUUUUCCCAGGUCAUUAUGCAGCAGCAGCGGAACUGCAUCAAUAAGAGCGAAGAAGACUUGAGUUGUGGUUACGAACGUGGGAUGUGAAGUCAAGCGUUCUGUGUCUGAGUCCCAGCUCACGACUCACCAGCUGUGUGACCUUGGACGAGAGACUGGGCCUUAGAAAGAAUGUGAAGUGAUUCGCCCCAAAUCACACGGCUGCUGAUGGUGCUUCGACUUGAAUUGAGAUGUGUCUGCAAAACCUGCGCCCUUGAUGCCACACUCUUCUUCCAUACGUUUGAACAGCCUCAGAGUACGCACAGACUGUGAAGCUGACCACGAGAGGCCCCGAGUGCUGCUCA